AUUGAACGCUGGCGGCAGGCCUAAAACAUGCAAGUCGAGCGGAGCGGCGGACGGGUGAGUGAUGCCUAGGAAUCUGCCUGUUAGUGGGGUAUCACGUCCGGAAACGGGCACUAAUACCGCAUACUAGCAGAUGAGCCUAGGUCGGAUUCGCUAGUUGGGGGGGUAAAGGCUUACCAAGGCGACGAUGCGUAACUGGUCUGAGAGGAUGAUCAGUCACACUGGAACUGAGACACGGCCCAGACUCCUACGGGAGGCAGCAGUGGGGAAUAUUCGACAAUGGGCGAAAGCCGGAUCCAGCAAUGCCGCGUGUGUGAAGAAGGUCUUCGGAUUGUAAAGCUCUUUAAGUUGGGAGGCGUUACCAAAAGAAGAAGCCCCGGCUAACUCCGUGCCAGCAGCCGCGGUAAUAC
rnacentral:rRNA from 1 species